CUUCCCGUAAGGGGAACCUGCGGAAGGAUCAUUAGUGAAUAUAGGACGUCCAACUUAACUUGGAGUCCGAACUCUCACUUUCUAACCCUGUGCACUUGUUUGGGAUAGUAACUCUCGCAAGAGAGCGAACUCCUAUUCACUUAUAAACACAAAGUCUAUGAAUGUAUUAAAUUUUAUAACAAAAUAAAACUUUCAACAACGGAUCUCUUGGCUCUCGCAUCGAUGAAGAACGCAGCGAAAUGCGAUAAGUAAUGUGAAUUGCAGAAUUCAGUGAAUCAUCGAAUCUUUGAACGCACCUUGCGCUCCAUGGUAUUCCGUGGAGCAUGCCUGUUUGAGUGUCAUGAAUACUUCAACCCUCCUCUUUCUUAAUGAUUGAAGAGGUGUUUGGUUUCUGAGCGCUGCUGGCCUUUACGGUCUAGCUCGUUCGUAAUGCAUUAGCAUCCGCAAUCGAACUUCGGAUUGACUUGGCGUAAUAGACUAUUCGCUGAGGAAUUCUAGUCUUCGGACUAGAGCCGGGUUGGGUUAAAGGAAGCUUCUAAUCAGAAUGUCUACAUUUUAAGAUUAGAUCUCAAAUCAGGUAGGACUACCCGCUGAACUUAAGCAUAUCAAUAAGCGGAGGAA
rnacentral:rRNA from 1 species